CCUACGGGAGGCAGCAGUGGGGGAUAUUGGACAAUGGGGGGAACCCUGAUCCAGCGACGCCGCGUGAGUGAAGAAGUAUUUCGGUAUGUAAAGCUCUGUCAGCAGGGAAGAAAGCAAUGACGGUACCUGACCAAGAAGCCCCGGCUAACUACGUGCCAGCAGCCGCGGUAAUACGUAGGGGGCAAGCGUUAUCCGGAAUUACUGGGUGUAAAGGGAGCGUAGACGGCUGUGCAAGUCUGGAGUGAAAGGCGGGGGCCCAACCCCCGGACUGUUCUGGAAACUGUAUGGCUGGAGUGCAGGGGAGGUAAGCGGAAGUCCUAGGGUAGGGGUGAAAUGCGUAGAUAUUAGGAGGACCACCAGGGGCGAAGGCGGCUUACUGGACUGUAACUGACGUUGAGGCUCGAAAGCGUGGGGAGAAAACAGGAUUAGAUACCCAAGUAGUC
rnacentral:rRNA from 1 species